rnacentral:rRNA from 1 species
GAUGAACGCUGGCGGCGUGCCUAAUACAUGCAAGUCGAGCGAACAGACGAGGAGCUUGCUCCUCUGACGUUAGCGGCGGACGGGUGAGUAACACGUGGAUAACCUACCUAUAAGACUGGGAUAACUUCGGGAAACCGGAGCUAAUACCGGAUAAUAUAUUGAACCGCAUGGUUCAAUAGUGAAAGACGGUUUUGCUGUCACUUAUAGAUGGAUCCGCGCCGCAUUAGCUAGUUGGUAAGGUAACGGCUUACCAAGGCAACGAUGCGUAGCCGACCUGAGAGGGGUGAUCGCCACCAUGGGACCGGAGCACCGUCCCAGCCCCCUACGGGAGGCAGCGGUGGGAAACCUCCCGCAAUGGGCGAAAGCUUACCGGGGCAAGGCGGCGUAAGUGAUAAGGGCCUUCGAUUCGAAAACUCCGUUAAUUAGGAAAGAAAAAUGUGUAAGUAACUAUGCACGUCUUGACGGUACCUAAUCAGAAAGCCACGGCUAACUACGUG